rnacentral:rRNA from 1 species
UACGUAGGCAGCGAGCGUUGUUCGGAGUUACUGGGCGUAAAGGGUGUGUAGGCGGUUGUUUAAGUUUGGUGUGAAAUCUCCCGGCUCAACUGGGAGGGUGCGCCGAAUACUGAAUGACUUGGAGUGCGGGAGAGGAGAGUGGAAUUCCUGGUGUAGCGGUGAAUGCGUAGAUAUCAGGAGGAACACCGGUGGUGUAGACGGCUCUCUGGACCGUAACUGACGCUGAGACACGAAAGCGUGGGUAGCAAACAGG